UACAGAGGUCCCGAGCCGUUGUUCGGAUUCACUGGGCGUAAAGGGUGCGUAGGUGGCGUGGUAAGUUUGAUGUGAAAGCUCAGGGCUUAACCCUGAAAUGGCAUUGAAUACUACUGUGCUGGAGGUUUGGGAGGGGGGACUGGAAUUCUUGGUGUAGCAGUGAAAUGCGCAGAUAUCAGGAGGAACACCAGCGGCGAAGGCGGCGCUCUGGGCCGGUACUGACACUGAGGAGCGAAAGCGUGGGUAGCAAACAG
rnacentral:rRNA from 1 species